GGGGAAACAAGCUCAUCAAUAGUGAGAGGCGGGUAUAAUCUUAAAAUCAGCAGUCUCCAACCUGGUGAAAAGUACCAGUUCAACGUGGCUACAGAGGGAGACGAUGGAAGACAAAGCAGAUGGAUCUCUGUAUCCACAGUGGUUCCACCCAGAGACUUAAAGGUAGACCAUUUGAAAGAAACCUCCUUCAGUCUCCACUGGACCAAGGCUGAAGGGAUGGAGAAAGUUCCACAACGCUUCCUCAUAUCCUACUGCAGCCCAGGAACAGACCUCCAUGCAGAGAAUACUGAAGACUGCCACACAUCAUUCUCAAACCUGCAACCUGGUACUGAGUACACUGUUAGUGUCUCUACUGUGCUGAAGAAUGGGGAACAGAGUGAACCAGUCUCUACAACCAUCUGCACUAUACUUCCUGCUCCAGACCAGCUGACUGUUGACUCAGUGGACACCA